rnacentral:pre_miRNA from 1 species
GUCAGUAAGAGGAAGAAUAGAGGAACUUAGAGUAGUGGGAAUGGGAACAUGGAGGAAAGCCUAACAUUCUCGGUUUUCACCUCCAGUGUUGGAGGUGAUAAUUUAAUUUGGUGUUUCCUGAUGCCUCCCAUUCCUAUUGUUCUAAAGAACUCUUCACCUUGAUUUUUUUG